UACAGAGGGGGCAAGCGUUGUUCGGAAUUACUGGGCGUAAAGGGCGCGUAGGCGGCCGCCUAAGUCAGACGUGAAAUCCCUCGGCUCAACCGGGGAACUGCGUCUGAUACUGGGUGGCUUGAAUCCGGGAGAGGGAUGCGGAAUUCCAGGUGUAGCGGUGAAAUGCGUAGAUAUCAGGAGGAAUACCGGUGGUGUAGACGGCUCUCUGGACCGCCACUGACGCUGAGACACGAAAGCGUGGGUAGCAAACAGG
rnacentral:rRNA from 1 species